CUAAAUAGCCUAAGGGUGAAUAAAUGUUCAGCUCAUUUUCAUUUUUGGGUGAACUGUUCCUUUAAGAACCUGCCAUUCCAAAAUGAUAGAUUCAUUCCUCAAGUCUGCCGGCGAUCUAAUUAUAGAAGCCGUAGACGGCGAGGGUGAGAGGACAGGGAGAGGUAAAGAGAUAGAAAGAGGGAUGUUUUUCCUCCUCGCGACAGUAAUGUCAUCUCCCAGCGGACUUCGAGGCAGUUGCAGGCUGCCGUCUCCCGCCUGCAGCCUCCCAGCUGAGGCGAGCCAGACAGACGCGAGUCAAUAAUAACGGCACAACUCUCUUCCGCAACGCCGCUGAGAAACGCUGGAGGAAAGACGCGAAGAAUGAAGGGAAGCGGUUCAGAUGUGAGAAGACUGUGGCGAAACGGCCUUAGGAGAGAGAAGGCGUCUGUGAGGAGUCGUGACAACCCCAAACCCCAUCUAUGCUGGAACAGAGGAACAAAUGUGCUGGUGAUAAAUGAAAUUAGUUUGAAAUGACAAAGAAAGAGGAGCAUCAGGCGUCAUCAAGGGGAUCCUGCAUCAGCCGAAGGUUUUCACUAAGAACAGCGAAUGCCAGGAGUUGAAAACAAAGACCACCAGACAGUGAUCAUGUGCUGAUUCUGAACGCGUCUCUCACUGACAAAGGAGUAUCCUUUUAAGGCUUGUGCACUCCAUUGUUUGAGAAAUGGAACUUUGUGCUCUUGUAUCCUACCUCUCUCAUUCAACACAAAUCCAAAUAUUUCCAAAUAUUCAAAUAUUUGGAAAAUAUUUCCAAAUCCAAAUACUGCUGUCAAUUCAGCGAACUGAUAUGUUUUGUGUGUGCGUGUGUGUGUGAGUGUGUGUGUGUGUGUGUGUGUGUGUGUACCAGCGCGAUUACUUUAACUGUUUCCUUAUACCAGCAAAAUCAACUGAAAACACUGUCAUUUACUGUCUUGUUAAUAAUGCAUCACUGUAACAGGUCUUUUGUAAAAUAAAGAAGACAAAUAGGACGUCGCUUUCUGCCAUUUGAGUUUCCUUGCUGUCACAAAAUGAACUGAAACUCAGCAAAUAUAGGCUACGUA